rnacentral:tRNA from 1 species
GUUGUGUAGCUCAGUGGUACAGCACUUGCCUAUUGCAGGAGGCACUGGGUUCAAUUUUCAGCAUCCACA